rnacentral:rRNA from 1 species
AUUGAACGCUGGCGGCAUGCCUUACGCAUGCAAGUCGAACGGUAACAGGUCUUCGGAUGCUGACGAGUGGCGAACGGGUGAGUAAUACAUCGGAACGUGCCCGAGAGUGGGGGAUAACGAGGCGAAAGCUUUGCUAAUACCGCAUACGAUCUCAGGAUGAAGGCAGGGGACCGCAAGGCCUUGCGCUCACGGAGCGGCCGAUGGCAGAUUAGGUAGUUGGUGGGAUAAAAGCUUACCAAGCCGACGAUCUGUAGCUGGUCUGAGAGGACGACCAGCCACACUGGGACUGAGGCACGGCCCAGACUCCUACGGGAGGCAGCAGUGGGGAAUUUUGGACAAUGGGCGCAAGCCUGAUCCAGCCAUGCCGCGUGCAGGAUGAAGGCCUUCGGGUUGUAAACUGCUUUUGUACGGAACGAAAAGACUCUGGUUAAUACCUGGGGUCCAUGACGGUACCGUAAGAAUAAGCACCGGCUAACUACGUGCCAGCAGCCGCCGUAAAAC